rnacentral:rRNA from 1 species
UACGUAGGGGGCAAGCGUUGUCCGGAUUCAUUGGGCGUAAAGAGCGUGUAGGCGGCCUGAAAGGUCAGCUGUGAAACUCGAGGCUCAACCUCGAGACGUCGGUUGAAACCAUCUGGCUAGAGUCCGGAAGAGGAGUGUGGAAUUCCCCGGUGUAGCGGUGAAAUGCGCAGAUAUCGGGAAGAACACCCGUGGCGAAGGCGGCACUCUGGGACGGUACUGACGCUGAGACGCGAAAGCGUGGGGAGCGAACAGG